rnacentral:rRNA from 1 species
UAAACUCUAAAUGAGUACUUGUUUACUAGAGUUUUAUGUAAGGAGGAAGAAUUUCUGGAGUAGUGAUUUAAUAUGAAUAAUCUCAGAGAGACUGGUAACGGCGAAGGCAUCCUUCUAUGUAAAAACUGACGUUGAGGGACGAAGGCUUGGGUAGCGAGAAGGAUUAGAUACCCUAGUAGUCCAAGCAGACAAUGAUGAAUGUCAUAGACUAGAUAUAAAUUUAGUCUAUAAAUGAAAGUGUAAGCAUUCCACCUCAAGAGUACUAUGGCAACAUAUAAACUGAAAUCAUUAGACCGUUUCUAAAACCAGUAGUGAAGUAUGUUAUUUAAUUCGAUGAUCCGCGAAAAACCUUACCACAGCUUGUAUAGCAUAUUAUAAAAAAUUGUUACAAGCGCUGCAUGGCUGUCUUUAGUUAAUGUCGUGAGAUCUGGUUAAGUCCUUUAAUUAACGAAAACCCUCACUUUAUUUAUAUAUAUAAAGUGGAUCGCCAAUAUAUAGGUUAGAUAAUAGGGAUUAAGACAAGUCAUCAUGGCCUUAAUACUGUGGGCUAUAGACGUGCCACAUAUGCCUUUACAAAGGGAUGCGAUUUUGUGAAAUUGAGCUAAUCCCCCAAAAAAGGAUAUAAUAUGGAUUGUAGUCUGUAACUCGACUACAUGAAUAA